UAGGGAAUCUUCGGCAAUGGGGGGAACCCUGACCGAGCAACGCCGCGUGAGUGAAGAAGGUUUUCGGAUCGUAAAGCUCUGUUGUUAAGGAAGAACGAGUGUGAGAAUGGAAAGUUCAUGCUGUGACGGUACUUAACCAGAAAGGGACGGCUAACUACGUGCCAGCAGCCGCGGUAAUACGUAGGUCCCGAGCGUUGUCCGGAUUUAUUGGGCGUAAAGCGAGCGCAGGCGGUUAGAAAAGUCUGAAGUGAAAGGCAGUGGCUCAACCAUUGUAGGCUUUGGAAACUGUAUAACUUGAGUGCAGAAGGGGAGAGUGGAAUUCCAUGUGUAGCGGUGAAAUGCGUAGAUAUAUGGAGGAACACCGGUGGCGAAAGCGGCUCUCUGGUCUGUAACUGACGCUGAGGCUCGAAAGCGUGGGGAGCGAACAGG
rnacentral:rRNA from 2 species